rnacentral:RNase_P_RNA from 2 species
GGAGCAGACCAGACGGUCGCGGGUUCCGCUUUUGGGCGGGACCGGAGGAAAGUCCGAACACCACAGGGCAGGGUGCUCCAUAACGUGGAGUCACGGUGACGUGAAGGCAAGUGCAACAGAAAGCAAACCGCCUUGCGUUGUUUUGUCAAGGUAAGGGUGAAACGGUGCGGUAAGAGCGCACCAGUUCUCCGGGUGACCGGGGAAGCUGGGUAAACCCCACCCGGUGCAAGACCAAAUAGAGGAGUGUUUGAGGGCGGCCCGUCCGAGCUCCCGGGUAGGUUGCUAGAGGUGCCGGGUAACCGGCAUCCCAGAUGAAUGAUCGUCGCCUUCGGUAUCGGGUAACCGGCCGGAGGAACAGAAUUCGGCUUACGGGCUGCUCCGGCC